GACGAACGCUGGCGGCGUGCUUAACACAUGCAAGUCGAACGGAAAGGCCCUGCUUUUGUGGGUUUCUCGAGUGGCGAGCGGGUGAGUAACACGUGAGUAACCUGCCCUUGACUUUGGGAUAACUUCAGGAAACUGGGGCUCAUACCGGAUAGAAGCUCCUGCUGCAUGUUGGGGGUUGGUAAGUUUCGGCGGUUGGGGAUGGACUCGCGGCUUAUCAGCUUGUUUGUGAGGUAGUUGCUUACCAGGGCUUUGACGGGUAGCCGGCCUGAGAGGGUGGACGGCGACAUUGGGACUGAGAGACGGACCAGACUCCUACGGGAGGCAGCAGUGGGGAAUAUUGCACAAUGGGCGGAAGUCUGAUGCAGCAACGCCGCGUGCGGGAUGACGGCCUUCGGGUUGUAAACCGCUUUCGCCUGUGACGAAGCGUGAGUGACGGUAAUGGGUAAAGAAGCACCGGCUAACUACGUG
rnacentral:rRNA from 1 species